GGUCCCGCACAAUCGUUGUAGCAUGUGGUUUUAAUUCGAUGCUACGCGCAGAACCUUCACCUUGGUUUGAAAUCCUCUGACAAGCCUUAGUCGGUGUUUCUCUUCGGAGACAGAGUGACAGGUGCUGCAUGGCUGUCGUCAGCUCGUUGUCGUGAGAUGUUGGGUUAAGUCCCGUAACGAGCGCAACCCUUGUUGUUAGUUGCCAUCAUUAAGUUGGGCACUCUAGCGAGACUGCCGGUGUCAAACCGGAGGAAGGUGGGGAUGACGUCAAGUCCUCAUGGCCCUUAUGCCCAGGGCUACACACGUGCUACAAUGGCCGGUACAAAGAGCAGCCAACUUGCGAAAGUGAGCUAAUCUCAAAAAGCCGGUCUCAGUACGGAUUGGAGUCUGCAACUCGACUCCAUGAAGGCGGAAUCGCUAGUAAUCGCGGAUCAGCAUGCCGCGGUGAUACGUUCCCGGGCAUUGUACACACCGCCCGUCACACCAUGGGAGUUGACUACUCCAGAAGUCGUUGUGCUGACCUUUCGAGGAGGCAGGCGCCACAAGGAGUGGUUGUAACUGGGGUGAAGUCGUAAC
rnacentral:rRNA from 1 species